GUAAGUGGUUAAAGUUUUUCUCUCUUUAGAAAGCUCUGUCACACGAUUGUAGCACCAUGACCCUCUUGGUUGAUUGUUUCUCAUGCAAUGGCUGUUGUUUCGAAUUUCCUCGCGGCACGUCCGAUGUCACGGACACUAUAUAUAAGCUCGUCAGGUUGGGAUUACAUUUUGGUUGGUGUGGGAUCACUCACUGCCGUUAGCAUCGACUGACUGCGCUAAAAUUGUUACAUCGGGAACCACUUCUCGCGGAAUCGUCGCCUAGUUUCCUCGUGGUCGAAAGUUGCGAAUGUUUUAAGCUGGUGCUGUAAUUAUAUAAACGCGAGCUAUGCCGCUUAUUGACUUAUAUUACUUCGUUGAUGGUCUUAGAACUGCAUCACUAUGCAAAUAAUAUAUCUGCCUCCCCGACUGAUUGCAUCGAGACGUAAGCACGUGCGUUUUAUAUACGUCCGCUGCAUUCAGUUUGUGAAGAACAAAUGCAAAGCAACAACAGCUUGAUUUGGGCGAGUUCGUACAUACUGAAUAACGUAGGUACAGCGCAACAACUUUUGUAAGGAAACGGAUACGCUGUACCAGCGUUUUCCUGUCUAAUUGUUUCCUUCCAAAAAUUGUUGCGCUGUACCUACGUUAUCCAAAAGCAAAGCGGCGCACAAAAACAAAAUGGGACUUUGUGCAAACUCCCUUGUUGUUCGUUGUAUAAGAUACGCUUUGAUUCAUUUUUUGUAGUACCCAAGGCCUUGAACAGCAAAAGUAUGACAGCCUGCCCAAUGCAAGCACUUCUAUGGAUGAAUGCUACCCGUAGUGCAGUGAGGCCUUGAUUUCAGCGAAGAAUACCAACCAUAGUGACAUAAUCUUGAGCCAGGUUGCACCUCAGAUAGGGAAUGAUGGCACUAGUUCCCAAAAGCUUGGAUGGGACUUGAAGUACUUACUUACAACGAGCAGAGCAGGAUCGAACAUGUGCAGCUAUAUAGGAGUAUACUCAUGCAUGUAGAAGUUGCAUCGUGCAACAUGUUAUUAGCUACCGUCCAAGCUGUCAAAGUGUGCAUGGCUCUUGUCUAUCUUUUCUAGGUGCUUUCAGACAUUCACAUACUAAUCACAGACAUGGGAAGACUAUAAGACGUCAAGAUGAAAGGCUCCUAGCAGCUCUCAGUGUUCCCAACGAAACUGGCAGAAUGGCAGUGGCUGAUUACAAGCUGCCUUUGGUGAACAAAAAAAACGUGACCACAUUAGAAUCCGAGCAGAGCUCCAAUCCUGCAUUCUGAUGACACCUUACACAACGGCUCUCUCUUAUGGGGAGCUGGUACUUAAGAAGCUUUACUGCGGGCAUCCUACCCACUAUUUUCAGACUGUUUUGGUGGAAACUUAAGCUAGACUCUUCGCCAGCGGCGGAAAAAGAGCUUCAGGGACGUGCAUGUCUACAGUGUCAUGGAAGAUGCAUCAAAGGAUACUGGGCCUGCCGCCAGCUGACAUGCCUUUCUUCCUCCUUAGUUCUGUUAAGAUAUGGGUUCAGUUUUUCUAGACAUGCAAUCCAUAAUAUAUGCAGUCUAGUCAAUCAGUGCACGGCAUUACAUGCCAUUCAUUUCCUAUGUAUAUAUUUAGUCAGAAUCAAAGCAGGACAAGCACAUGUACAUAAUUUGCAAGAAUAAAAUUUUGUUUUUUGCUAAU
rnacentral:lncRNA from 1 species